AAGCGGCAGUGGAGGCGGCGGCGGCGGCGGCGGCGACCAUGAAAGCUGAGUGAAGGGACUCUGAAGGUUACUGCCUCUGAGCUCUUUGUCCGCGAGAGCAGGAACAGAGGAUUUGAAGCGUGAAGACGAGACUUGGCUUGUGGAGGUGCAGGUUUUCUUUGCGUGCUGCAGCCGUGCAGUCGAAGCUGCAGCGCCGGAACAAAGCAGCACCCAAUCCCAGCCUAUUUUGGACUUUUCUUCAUUAAAGCCAUUAGAGGUUUGAAGGCCUCGUGGUUCUGAGCACACACACACACACCAGCAGACCUCCAUGGAAACUUUGAAGUCAGGUGGAAAGAAAAAGGGGGAGAGAUGACGAAAGACAGAAGACCGCGACUGACGCCUUUGAUCAGAUUCAUGGCUCUGGUCCGGCCCGACCGCGCGGCCCAGCCUGGAUCCAGAGUGGCGGCGUCAACAUAUCCGAAGGGCUUUGGCUUCUAAAUCCCACUUGAGUUCAGCUGUCUGGUCAAUGGGACCGGGGCAAGACGCCAAGCAUGUUCAGCCAAGCCUCCCCUCCUCCCUCCCUCCUCCAUCCCUCCAUCCCUCCGUCCCUCCGUCCCUCCCUCCCUCCGCCUCCAUCCAGACGGCCUCCUGUUCAGCUGUGCUGCUCGCUGCAGGUUCCAGCCAGUGCGACUGUCUGUGUGUGAAUGUGUGUGUUUGUGUGUGUGUGUCCCCGUCUGGCGGUGCGAGUGUGUUCGGAUGUGACUGCCUCUGCUGGGUCCCAGCGGGGCUGCGGAUGGCCCCGCCCACCAGGACCUGUUCCAGCCAAUCAGGUGCUAAUGUGCGGGAACAGGAGAGGGCUGCGCUGACAGAUGGCGGGCUGACCUGGAAAACCUGCCCCCUUUUCAGGGUUCAGCAGGCGGCAGAUGACAGAUCCAGCUGAGCGCCGAGCGGCUCGUCUGUCCUGCAGACAUCAGCCCACGCAGCCCCCGCCCCCCCCCCCGCCCCGUCCCGCUGCAGGACCCGGGCCCUCUGACCUCAGGCAGAGGAACCAGGCCUCCGUCCCGUCAGCCCCGUCACGUCGAGCCGCCCGCCGCUCAGCAGCAAACCGCUGGUGACGGCCGCCUUUUUGUCCCGCCGCCCGCCGCCGGCUGUAAUCGCAGAGACAGGUGACACGAGUGUGGAAACCGGAGGAUGACGGGAGGACGGCGGCGAUCACGUGGCCGCCGCCGCACGUUUCCUGCAAGGGCAGUGCCCUUGGCUUCAGAGCUGCAGCCGUGAAGUUUGCAGUCAUGAGGCGACUUCUUCCCACAUCUGCUUCACCAGGCUCAUCCAGAAAGAAAGCACAGGCCACGCCCACCCGGCGGCCAUCUUCCUCUGACAUCAUCACGUGGCACGGCGAGACCCUGACAAGCGGCUGUGGUUCCACUGUUUCACGACUGAAGAGAAGCUCCAGAGGGACGUCGGCUCUCGUUUGGAGGCUGAAGAAUCACAGCGGCUCCGCCUUGUUUCAGCAGAACUUCCUGAAACAUGUGGGAUAAGCUCCUCCCACCGGCAGGUUUCUGACCCCGCUGGAAGAAAAAACCCGAUUUGAACAUGAAGAGGAGACGGAGAAACCUCGUAUCUGCCCCACCUGACGGCUUUCAGCGCGUCUGCAUGAGAAAACCUGCAUGUUGCUGCUGCAUGCAGGCGGGCGGCUCUGCUUUGACGCCUGGACGGACGCUUCCUGUGGCCUCGAGCGGCGAGAGGCGGCCGAGCGAGACGUGACGUGCAGGUCGGCAGGAAGGCUUUUCCACGCAGAAGAAAUAAAACCGUCAUCAGGAGUGUGAGAAGCUGCUCAGACGACCUCAUGCUUUCACUGUCGGAGGAAAAAUGUGUUUUCCUGUGAUGUUAUGAGCAAAUCCAUGAGGAGGAGCGGAGCGUCGGAGGAGGGCUUGGCUGCACGCUGCUCACCUUAACGUCUGACUCUGGAAAAUGAUUUUCCUCAGGAGAGGAGGCGCCGAGGCAGGAAAUAGUCCCGUCAGGAGCGCCACACCUGGACAGCAGCAGCGUGAAGAAACUCCUCCACCUGCAUGAAGGUACGUG